GCCAUCGUCAUCCAUCGCCAUCGUCAUUACCUGUGGCGAACAACGAGGGAGGUCAGACACCUAAAUCUACAAGGACAAAAAAAUGGAAUCAAAGAUCGUCCUACUCGUUGGCCUGAUGGUGGUGUCGCUGAUCGUGUGUUCUCAAGGCCAUUUGACAGUAGGCCGGAGUUUAGGAGCCCGUCAGCAAGUUGACCAGCGACGUGAAACGAUUGCGCGUGCGCGCGCGCAAAAUGACAGGAGACAAGAGGAAGCGAAUCAUGAUUCCUAUCUGGACAAAUUUUUGGAGAGCAGGAGAAAAGACGGCUUUGAUAGUUAUAGAGGUUACUGAAGGCUUCAUCGUCUACAGCAUUUUAAAGGAGUGCACAACUUCCGAUGGGCUAAAAGACUACGCAGGAACAGUUGACUAGAGUCAUAAAGUUUUCAAAAAAUAUAUAUUUUGAUCAUGUAAUACAGUGUACAAACCAGUGAUAGAAAAAAGAAAAAGUGAUAAACAA